CUGAAUCCAGAAUGAGAGUCAAAACUGGAGUGCACACUACAAUGUGGUUUUUCCUGACAAAGAAUCUCUCUCUGGCUUCUUCUGGGCUCAAAAAGGAUGCAAAAGAAAAACACAGCAAGAACAACCUCUCAUAAUGCUGCAUCAAAGAAAAAUCAUAACCGUAGGACAGAAAAAUGAAAAUCUCCAGCCAAGAUCAAUGCAGAAUCCGUGCAGUAAUGAGCAAAAAUAUCAAAAGGACUGAUAUUCAAAAGGAAGACGACACCCCAAGGUAACAGCAGCAGUUUCAUUGAAACUAUUGGACAAUUCCAGCUUUCCAAAGGGGAGAACAGG
rnacentral:lncRNA from 1 species